rnacentral:rRNA from 1 species
AUGGAUACAGUCAAAAUCUGUGCUAGAACAAUAAUCCAGUACUCCCUCCGUCCGGAAAUACUUGUCGGAGAAAUGGAUGUAUCUAGACAUAUUUUAGUUCUAGAUACAUCCAGUUUUAUGCAUUUCUCCGACAAGUAUUUCCGGACGGAAGGAGUACUUGUGAUAGCCUAUUCAACAAGUACAUACGUCCAAGAUUCUUCACUAAGAAAGCCAUUGUCGAGCUGCAAACAAUUGUUAGAAUUCUUCCUUUCAUGGUUACCGACGAAUGCUGCUCUCCUUGAGGACCUCCAAGAGGUGCUUCUGGCAGUUCAAUGCUGGUCUUGCUUGAAAAUUUCAGCAAAACUGACUGGAGGGCCAUGCAUCACAAUAAGGUCAAGGGAAUUUCAUCCCAUUGUUGAAAUAAUUUCAUUUGCCCAUGAAGGGAGAGAUGCUCGGAAUGUGACGGGCAAUCCAGUUACCGGAUGCACAAAUGAUAAGCUCUCUGCAUGCAACGCAUGA